CAAUGUUUAUGACAUUUUUAUUUCUUAUGUAGAUAAAAUUUAUCGAUGAAAGAUUGUUGGUUUUCUUGGGAUUUUGGAACUACUUUCCUGUCCCCCCAUAUCCGUUUUUGAUUGAAAGGCUGUUUAUUUGUCCUCCUUCAAACAAUUGCAUAUAAUUGUAUUAUGUCCCAGUUUUGAUGCAUCUAGGGAGAGGUUAAAUACAAUAUACCAGGAUUUAGGAGUAAUUAAACAAACCCUAUCAAAGGAGAUAUAUUUUUAAAGAUAAUUUUAAUGUUCUAUAGGCAUACAAUUAAGAACUUAUCUUAAUUAAAACCACUAUCUAUGCAGAUGUUGCAUACAGUAAUGUUAUGUUUAUUGGUAGAAUGGUUAUGUUAUUAUGUCAAGUUUAUGAUACUCAUUUAAAGCCCUAUAUUUUGUAUAAAAUAAUUAUUAAUACUGGGGAUUCAUUUAUUUUCGUGGGUACCAAUUUUCAUGUAUUUUUGUGGAUUUUUGAUUUCCUAGUUUUGCCAAAGUCUGCAUACAAGCCUAUGGAAAAUGUGUACAUCUUUGAACAUUUAAGUUCCUGGUUCAGCUUUUUCCAAAUAAUCCACAAAAUUGGUUUUCCAGGAAAAUAAAAAAUCCACAGUUUUGAAUUUUGUGAUAAAAAGUUGGUAAAUGUUAUAAAUGAGACAGACAAAUUAGAAUUUGAGAUUUCACAAAAUGUUGAAACAAUUGAUAAGUGCUUUCUAUUAUGGUGCAAAGUUUUUCAGUGCCUGAUUUUGUUAUUGCUGGUUUCACAUAUUUUUUUAUGAUUUCAUAUUGGAAAAAAUAAAUUCACAUUGGUUUCUAACACUUAGUACAUAAGAUAUAAUAUUUUAUUGCCAUGAUAUUUUUAUUGGGAAAUCUAAAUUAGAAACAG
rnacentral:lncRNA from 1 species